rnacentral:lncRNA from 1 species
AUUAUUUUUAAGCAAAGCCUGACAAUGUAAAGUUCUUGUUUUAUAAAAGAUGCUAAUCUAUUAUAAGAUGUUACAGUUUGUGUUUUCAGAAGUUAAGUUUAGGGCAUUGAUGGCACACGCCUUUAAGUUUAGGGUGUUGGUGGCACACGCCUUUAAUCCCAGCACUGGGGAGGCAGAGGUGGGUGGAUCUUUGUGAGUUCAAGGCCAGAUGGUCCCAGAUCAAAUUCCAGGACAGGCUCCAAAGUCACAGAAAAACCCUGCCUCAGAAAGAAGUUAAGCUACUGUUUAAGGAAUAUAAGGUAGCUCUAUGCAGUUUUAAGUUCAGCUGUGCUAAGUUUCAAAUAUUUUACUAAGUUAAAACCAGUUACAGUCAGACUGAAAAUUAGUUACAGAAAUAAGACAUUACCUAGCCACUUGUGUGCUUAAUGUGUGCUUAAGGAAAGUAACUAAAACAGACAAACAGACCUCUAAUGCUUCAGAGUUCUGCAGAAUAUGGCAUUUAAAUUGUUAUUUUAAAAGUUUAUAAUAUCAGACAGACUGCCAGAUCCUGACAGUGACCCAAAGUCUCCAAAGAAGAUUAUGAGGCACCCCAGUUCCUGCACCUAGAUGAUGAUGAUGCUGACCAGUGAGCGAGAUGCUCAGAUGUGAUACUUGUUGCCUGUCACGACCUGGCUGAGACUGUGGACAAAGCUGCUGGACACUGGAAAAUUGAUUGUACCCCUUUGCCUAGACAAAACAAGGGAGAAAAGACUCUGAACAGAUGAUGGUGACCAGAGGAUGGAUUCUAAGAUGAGGGAUUCACCUUCAUGUUGUUCUUAUUCCAUUUUCUGAUGUGUAACAGAAUAUCUGAGACUAAGUGGUUUGUAAAGGACAGAGAUUUGGACUGAUUCUGGAAGCUGUGAAGUCCAAGGCUGAAAGACCAACUAUAGAGAAAAGCAAAAAGGUUCCGAGAGCCAAAAUGUGAAACUCCAGUGUGGUGUCGUACACCUCUAAUCCCAGCACUCUGAAGGCAGAGGCAGG